rnacentral:rRNA from 1 species
GUCCACGCCGUAAACGAUGGGUACUAGGCGUCGGGGGGAGCGACCCCCUCGGUGCCGUCGCUAACGCAGUAAGUACCCCGCCUGGGGAGUACGGCCGCAAGGCUGAAACUCAAAGGAAUUGACGGGGGCCCGCACAAGCGGUGGAGCAUGUGGUUCAAUUCGAUGCAACGCGAAGAACCUUACCUGGGCUUGACAUGCUGGUGAAAGCCGGUGGAAACAUCGGCCCUCCUUCGGGACGCCAGCACAGGUGCUGCAUGGCUGUCGU